rnacentral:rRNA from 1 species
AAAUAAUAGUACCGAAGUUCCUGAUGUCACACUGCCGAGAAAAGCUUCUAGUGAGAAAACAGCGGCCCGUACCGCAAACCGACACAGGUAGUCGAGGAGAGAAUCCUAAGGUGAGCGAGAGAACUCUCGUUAAGGAACUCGGCAAAAUGACCCCGUAACUUCGGGAGAAGGGGUGCUGAUCAUACGAUCAGCCGCAGUGAAUAGGCCCAAGCGACUGUUUAUCAAAAACACAGGUCUCUGCAAAAUCGUAAGAUGAAGUAUAGGGGCUGACGCCUGCCCGGUGCUGGAAGGUUAAGAGGAGUGCUUAGCGCAAGCGAAGGUACGAAUUGAAGCCCCAGUAAACGGCGGCCGUAACUAUAACGGUCCUAAGGUAGCGAAAUUCCUUGUCGGGUAAGUUCCGACCCGCACGAAAGGCGUAACGAUUUGGGCACUGUCUCAACGAGAGACUCGGUGAAAUUUUAGUACCUGUGAAGAUGCAGGUUACCCGCGACAGGACGGAAAGACCCCAUGGAGCUUUACUGUAGUUUGAUAUUGAGUGUCUGUACCGCAUG